rnacentral:rRNA from 1 species
CACGUAGGGCGCAAGCGUUGUCCGGAAUUAUUGGGCGUAAAGAGCUCGUAGGCGGUCUGUUACGUCUGCUGUGAAAACUCGGGGCUUAACCCCGAGCCUGCAGUGGAUACGGGCAGACUAGAGGUAGGUAGGGGAGAAUGGAAUUCCCGGUGUAGCGGUGAAAUGCGCAGAUAUCGUAAGGAAGACCAGUGGCGAAGGCGGGUCUCUGGACAGUUCCUGACGCUGAGGCACGAAGGCCAGGGGAGCAAACGGG